rnacentral:rRNA from 1 species
UACGAAGGGGGCUAGCGUUGUUCGGAAUUACUGGGCGUAAAGCGCGCGCAGGCGGUUCUUCAAGUCAGAGGUGAAAGCCCAGAGCUCAACUCUGGAAUGGCCUUUGAGACUAGAGAACUAGGGUACGGGAGAGGUGAGUGGAAUUCCGAGUGUAGAGGUGAAAUUCGUAGAUAUCAGGAGGAACACCGGUGGCGAAGGCGGAUCUCUGGGCCAUUACUGACGCUGAGGAGCGAAAGCUAGGGGAGCAAACGGG